GAUGAACGCUGGCGGCGUGCCUAAUACAUGCAAGUCGAGCGAACGGGCGAGAAGCUUGCUUCUCUGAUGUUAGCGGCGGACGGGUGAGUAACACGUGGAUAACCUACCUAUAAGACUGGGAUAACUUCGGGAAACCGUAGCUAAUACCGGAUAAUAUUUUGAACCGCAUGGUUCAAAGGUGAAAGACGGUCUUGCUGUCACUUAUAGAUGGAUCCGCGCUGCAUUAGCUAGUUGGUAAGGUAACGGCUUACCAAGGCAACGAUGCAUAGCCGACCUGAGAGGGUGAUCGGCCACACUGGAACUGAGACACGGUCCAGACUCCUACGGGAGGCAGCAGUAGGGAAUCUUCCGCAAUGGGCGAAAGCCUGACGGAGCAACGCCGCGUGAGUGAUGAAGGUCUUCGGAUCGUAAAACUCUGUUAUUAGGGAAGAACAUAUGUGUAAGUAACUGUGCACAUCUUGACGGUACCUAAUCAGAAAGCCACGGCUAACUACGUG
rnacentral:rRNA from 1 species